rnacentral:rRNA from 1 species
GACGAACGCUGGCGGCGUGCUUAACACAUGCAAGUCGAACGGAAAGGCCCUGCUUGCAGGGUACUCGAGUGGCGAACGGGUGAGUAACACGUGGGUGAUUUGCCCUGCACUUCGGGAUAAGCCUGGGAAACUGGGUCUAAUACCGGAUAUGACCUUCCAUGUAGUGUGGGGGGUGGAAAGAUUUAUCGGUGUGGGAUGAGCCCGCGGCCUAUCAGCUUGUUGGUGGGGUAAUGGCCUACCAAGGCGUCGACGGGUAGCCGGCCUGAGAGGGUGGACGGCCACAUUGGGACUGAGAUACGGCCCAGACUCCUACGGGAGGCAGCAGUGGGGAAUAUUGCACAAUGGGCGGAAGCCUUAUGCAGCGACGCCGCGUGGGGGAUGACGGCCUUCGGGUUGUAAACCUCUUUCGACAGGGACGAAGCUUCGGUGACGGUACCUGUAUAAGAAGCACCGGCUAACUACGUG